rnacentral:rRNA from 1 species
UACAGGGGUCUCAAGCGUUGUUCGGAUUCAUUGGGCGUAAAGGGUGCGUAGGCGGCGCGGUAAGUCGGGUGUGAAAUCUCGGAGCUUAACUCCGAAACUGCAUUCGAUACUUCCGUGCUUGAGGACUGGAGAGGAGACUGGAAUUUACGGUGUAGCGGUGAAAUGCGUAGAUAUCGUAAGGAAGACCAGUGGCGAAGGCGGGUCUCUGGACAGUUCCUGACGCUGAGGCACGAAGGCCAGGGGAGCAAACGGG